GCCCCGGUAAACGGCGGCCGUAACUAUAACGGUCCUAAGGUAGCGAAAUUCCUUGUCGGGUAAGUUCCGACCUGCACGAAUGGCGUAAUGAUGGCCAGGCUGUCUCCACCCGAGACUCAGUGAAAUUGAACUCGCUGUGAAGAUGCAGUGUACCCGCGGCAAGACGGAAAGACCCCGUGAACCUUUACUAUAGCUUGACACUGAACACUGGUCCUUGAUGUGUAGGAUAGGUGGGAGGCUUUGAAGCGUGGACGCCAGUCUGCGUGGAGCCGACCUUGAAAUACCACCCUUUAAUGGCUGGUGUUCUAACGUAGACCCGUGAUCCGGGUUGCGGACAGUGUCUGGUGGGUAGUUUGACUGGGGCGGUCUCCUCCCAAAGAGUAACGGAGGAGCACGAAGGUUAGCUAAUCCUGGUCGGACAUCAGGAGGUUAGUGCAAUGGCAUAAGCUAGCUUGACUGCGAGAGUGACGGCUCGAGCAGGUGCGAAAGCAGGUCAUAGUGAUCCGGUGGUUCUGAAUGGAAGGGCCAUCGCUCAACGGAUAAAAGGUACUCCGGGGAUAACAGGCUGAUACCGCCCAAGAGUUCAUAUCGACGGCGGUGUUUGGCACCUCGAUGUCGGCUCAUCACAUCCUGGGGCUGAAGUAGGUCCCAAGGGUAUGGCUGUUCGCCAUUUAAAGUGGUACGCGAGCUGGGUUUAGAACGUCGUGAGACAGUUCGGUCCCUAUCUGCCGUGGGCGCUGGAGAAUUGAGGGGGGCUGCUCCUAGUACGAGAGGACCGGAGUGGACGCAUCACUGGUGUU
rnacentral:rRNA from 1 species